rnacentral:rRNA from 1 species
GCCAGACUCCUACGGGAGGCAGCAGUGGGGAAUAUUGGGCAAUGGGGGAAACCCUGAUGCAGCAACGCCGCGUGAGUGAAGAAGUAAUUCGUGAUGUAAAGCUCUAUCAGCAGGGAAGAAAAUGACGGUACCUGAGUAAGAAGCCCCGGCUAACUACGUGCCAGCAGCCGCGGUAAUACGUAGGGGGCAAGCGUUAUCCGGAUUUACUGGGUGUAAAGGGAGCGUAGACGGCCAGACAAGUCUGAAGUGAAAAUCCAGCGCUUAACGUUGGAAGUGCUUUGGAAACUGCCGGGCUAGAGUGCAGGAGGGGCAGGCGGAAUUCCUAGUGUAGCGGUGAAAUGCGUAGAUAUUAGGAGGAACACCAGUGGCGAAGGCGGCCUGCUGGGCUGCAACUGACGUUGAGGCUCGAAGGCUUGGGGAGCAAACAGGAUUAGAUCCCCUGGUA